rnacentral:lncRNA from 10 species
UAUAAAUGAUGCUGAAAAGAAAUCUGGUCUUUUCAGGUUCCCGUACUGACGUGUCGAGGUGGUCGCAUCCCGGCGUAGAGGACUAGGAAUCGGGAGUCACUGGCCGUAUGCUGGAGGCUGGAGACGCGGGAGCGUGGCUUGCCUCGCUGCGGUUGUUGGCAGCGAUGGAGAUGGCGCGGCUGGAGAGUGCCAUCUGCUGCUGCCUCUGACUACUGCAUUUUCCCCCGUUUGCUUAGUCCACGCCCAGUGUGGUAAAAGAUGGGAAAGAGAAAGCCAUCCUCUCAUUAAAGUAAUUGGUCCGGCAUAUACUAAGCGUCAGGCACUUUUUUGGUAUUUUAUGAACCACUUCAGAAAGCUUUCAUCAAGCUCAGGUUUAAGCUGAUGACCUAAAAUUACAUGAAGUUCCUAAAAUUAUAUGAAGAAAAUCUAUCCUGUUAUGAGGCUGGCCAGAAGGAUAACCGGAGAAUCUCCAGCUAUGUCAUCAGCUUCCCAGAUAAGCCAUGGUCAGGGGCCCUUCCUCUAAGCUUCCUGGGACUCCAUGGAUAGGUGAGGCUUCUGGGCAGCAGUCGCUCAUCUUUCUGUCCCACUUCAGCUGCAGUGAGAAGAGAUAAAGGGAACACUGCAUAUUGAGCCUCAUUUAGUUUUGUCAUGCACUGUGCUUUUGAAAAAAGGCAAAUAAUUGUCAACAUGUAAAAACUGAGAAGGUUCAUACUAAAAAUAGAUUCUGAUUUUUCUAAAAAAAAAAACACUGAGUUUGGAUUC